CAAGUGGCCAGUGAGUAGAGAACAGCAGAGAAGCCAUGUGGGGAAGCAGCAGGGGGAAAUGCUGGCUCUGUGGCCUUCUGGCUGCGUGACUUCAGUCAAGUUACUUACCCACUCUGAUCCUCAAAUGCUCUAAGAUUCGCGACCUGCCCAGGCUCUGCACCUCCUAUGUUGCUAAGGCCUCCCGCCUCCUGGCUGGCCCCACACGUGUUCUCCAUGCUGAUGGCAGUGAGUGACAGUGAGGCGUUCCUUGGGUGAAUAGAAAACCAAGGCCACCUGGAGCCCGCCCCACAUCCUGCUCUGGGGCCUGAAGAGCGCGGGCACCCUCAGCCAGCGCUGCGUGAGACCGGCAGGGGCAGCAGAGGAUUGGAAAGACUCAUUGAACUUCACCUGGUGGGCGUUGAAGAUUAAACCCGAACCACAGGCAAAGCCCCUCUCUACGAGGCUCACGUUCUAGGGGGAAGCAGCAGAAGAAAAGCAUCGCUCCAAGCCCGCAGCUGCAGACGUCUCCCUGAGGAGCGUCCAGUCUUUCAUCACGCUGCGGAGGACAGGAUGAUCCAUGGCUCAGGAAUCUGCUUAGUCAAUAACUCAAUUCUGCAGCUGGGCCACAUUUGUAAGCAGUGAUAGCACACCCCAUGGGAACCCAGAAUCCAAUUAGGGCUACGGGCUGCAUCAUUUCUCAUCCCUCGCUCCGCCUUCCACAGUCCCCGGCCAUCCAUCUUUCUUGGCUGAAGACUCCCCGAGGUCUGCGGGGGAAACUUCGGACCCUCCUAUUGGGGGCCUGAGCUGCCCUCUGAUCCUCGCUGCAGCCACCGGUAUUGGAAUCAAAGCCUGAGGAGACAGGUUUUUCUUGGUCCAUGGGACUGGGGCACUCAGGAUAAUUCCAGGCUUUCAGCAAACAGAGACAUUUCCUUACCUCAAGCCCACUUAGUCUUGGAGGUCCCGGGUCUUUUCAAACUCACCCAUCGCCAGGAUGAUGCCCUGGUCCAUUGGUGUGAGGUUGCGUGAAUUGCUUAUGGGCAGCAGGUGUUGAAAGAGAGCUUGUUAGAAAAUCAGACAUGAGGAUGUUCACAAUAGGGAAAGCAGACCCCAAAGAGGUUUAAUUAGCUUCUUUCGCUCAAAAAUGCAAAUGUGCUAUUCGAUAAGGGCUACCUGGCUUGGCAUUAGGCCAUAAGACCAGAAGUUUCUGGAUAUUUUUGAGAUUCAUGCUCACUUCCCCAAUUCUAGGACUAUUGAGGAUUUUUUUUUUCCUGGAAAUUUCUGAUGGGCUAGAUUUGUUCCACGGGUUCGGCCUACUGGUUUUAUGAGGACCUCAUUUGUUCUACAACAUUUUUUUCCAGAGUUCAGCCCCUUUACUUUAUGAACUAGGUUAGAUAAGGGACAGCAGAUAUCUUUCAACUUGCAGGUCAACUCCAAUAGAUUUGGUGGUGGCUGCUUUAAAAACUGGGUCUAGAAGCAUUCAGAGUCCUAACUGGGCAUAGAAGGGAAGAAUGCCAUGUGCAUUUAGCAAAGCCCUCUGUGCCUGCCAGAGGGUGAGAGGCGGCAGGUGUGCCACAUGAUUUGUUAUCAUUGCACUGAACCAUCCUAAGCUCUGAGAGGAACCCUGUUAAAUAAGACAAGCAGAUCUGGCCCUUAAGUUGGUCUCAGUGUAGCAGGGACGAUGAGCUGGCAGGUGCUCCCAGGUCACUGAUGAUGCCCUGGUGGAGGCAGAUGCAAGCAUGAGUGUGCCAUACUGUCUGAGCACAUGGAAUUUGAAGCUGUUCAUUUCUCCGCAUAAAUCCUGCUUCUGAGACUUACCUGCUGGGUGGCAGGGGACUAGUCAUUUUAAAUGCCCCGAGCCACAGUAUCUUCAUCUGUAAAAUGAAUAUCUAUCUCACAAGGUGGUGGUGGUCAUUAAAUGACAUCAGAUUUGGAAGCAUUAGAUGCUUACCUUUUAGUAAGGAUUACCAGAAUAAGUACCGUUGAUGUGGAAACACAAAUAGGCCUCCAAACUUUGUCUUGGGUACAGAGAAGCCUCCACAGGGAGGUUCUGUUUUGUAUUGCAAGUGGUACCCAGGCAGCAUUCAGUAGAAGAAGACAGAGGCCACUCAACACAGGGGAGGACAUUCUGUCCCCUUGGUUAGGGAAACCUGAACUAUGGAAUAAAAAUAUAUAUAUGUUAGGGUCAAAAUUCAAAACAACUCUCCUGAAAUAAAGAAAGACUUGAAUUUACUGACUGAAAGGUAAAUUGAUACAGAGUGGUCAAUGCUGAGACAGAUCCUCAUAGAUGAAUGUUUGACUUCAAAGAGAAAAUUCUAAUGGUUUCCAGUGAAAAACCCUUCCUCCAAAAACCAGGUUUAAAAAAAAUACAAAGAAUCACUCAGAAACUCAAACCAAGAGCAGGACUUCCAGAAUGGCGGAAUAGGAACCUCUGAAGAUAUGCUACUCCAUGGAAGCAAGAGAAUAUUGUCAAAAAUUGUCACAAUCAACU